UCAGGGUUUAGAUUUUGGAAGCUGGAUGCCGAUGCCGCGCGCGCCAGUGGCGGAUUCUUGCGCAAUCCUCUGGAUCGGCGGCGCUGCCGGGCGGCAUCCUUGCGAAUGAUCCAUCGCAUUGAGGUCUGGAUCGAUCUGAUCGUUGCGUUUCGUAGGGAGAAGGAUGUCACGUCCUUGUUGCGGACGAUGAUCCUCAUUUUCUGGCAGAGAUCAAGCUUAAGCUCGAGAUCUUUCACUACUGCGUGACAACGUUUGUGAAUGGAGACUCUGUUCGUGAAGCAUUACAAAUGGAGCCAUGCUCGUUUCAUAUAGCUUUGCUGGAGGCCAUGAGCAAGAACAUCAAAGGCCUUGAAAUCCUCUCUACACCACGAUGUGUACCUAUAAUUUUGGUUUCUAGCAUAGAGGAUAUUGCUGUAAGGUUUAAGUUUCUGAAAGUGGAUUUUCCUAUCGCAAAGUUUUUAAAACAGGCUGGUGCUGCUGGUUUUCUUCGAAAACGAACUAUUGACGACGAAACACUCAAAAAUCUUUGGCAGCAUGUAGCAAGAAAGGCUUUGAAGGAGCAGAGCCGAGUCCAUCUUCAUCCAAUCGGUGAAUCAACAAUCUCUAUAAAACAUACUUCUACAACUGAAGAUCAAUCCAAGACACGACUAGAACAAUCAUCUAACACAACAUCUGACAGCAUUCCCACUCUAGUUACAUCUCAAAGUAACAAUAUCUCAGAGAAGAAGUAAUGCGAAAUGAAAUCGUAUGCUGGCGAGAGCGUGAAUGGUCAGCUGACUUCUAGCAAUGACGAAGUGACGCUGGAUGACGAGCUGGAGUCCAUGCAAAGGUCAGCAUCUGACCAUACCGGAACCGUCGAUGCCGCUCAACAAGAACAACACAUGCAACGUGUAGAAAACUGUCACAAAAAAGAACGAAAUUUAACAACGAAAAAAACAAAGGUUGGAGCCCAGAUCUUCACCGGUUGUUUGUUCAGGCUGUAGAGGAACUUGGCUUGGAAAAAGCGAUUCCAUCUCGAAUUCUGGAAAUCAUGGGCGUUGAGUCCCUCACACGCCAUAAUGUUGCCAGUCGCUUACGGGUACAAGAACAUCAUUGUAUGCUUGUGUAAACACUAUUUUCAGAAGUACCGUGCUCAGAGGAAGCGCAAGCGCGCUGAAUCGAAACAGAAGUGCUCAAGCUAAGAGGCGCUGAAUAAACGCGAUUGUCUACACAUUCAACCUUCUCCAUCCAUUCCUUCUACGUACCAUUUUGUUCCGCCUGGCCAUGUAUGGGGACUCCCUGCUCAAGGUUGGCCACCUUCAAAGCCUUUGCACCAGAAUUCCAUUUCCGCAUGGCAGACAACGGGUCCACCUGCAAAGCAUAUCUGUGUUGUUUUUAAGCACCGACUUGUUUUCUCUGAAUUUGCAGUCAAGAAACGCAAACAAAGAUGAAUCGCGUGUAAGGUCUAAACUAUCUUUACCAAUGCGACUUAAGCCUCCGAUGAUCGCGGGGUGUAAUCGAAGAACUCAGGAAACUGGCUCAAAGAGCUAAGUGAAGAGUCAACGAGGGCAGGCUGUAUGGUGGGCUCUUCAGCGCAGUAGCUGAUGGAUCUUCCAAACAUCCGUAAGCCGAACUUGGAUUUUCAAUAUUGGAUAGCUGAACAAGUCAGAUUCUUGACUUCGAGAACAUACUGGGAAGACGCACUCUCUUCUGAGCUGCAACUACAGGUAGCUAAAACUAGUGCUUGAUCGUUGUUUUAAUCCUUUGGUGUUUGCAGGAGUCGAGUACCUGCGAGAAGAGUCCAGUUAAAUCAUAUGAAACUGAAACCGAGACAUUACAGCAGGAUACUCGGGCACUCUAUUUCCUCUCUCGUCAUACAGGAUGAGGCCAGAGAAAUCCGGAGGCUCGCACUUCUCGCCCAUGAGAAUCGUUCUCUGCCACACGGCUCCCGUGUUCU